rnacentral:rRNA from 1 species
GACGAACGCUGGCGGCGUGCCUAAUACAUGCAAGUUGAGCGCUGAAGGUUGGUACUUGUACCAACUGGAUGAGCAGCGAACGGGUGAGUAACGCGUGGGGAAUCUGCCUUUGAGCGGGGGACAACAUUUGGAAACGAAUGCUAAUACCGCAUAAAAACUUUAAACACAAGUUUUAAGUUUGAAAGAUGCAAUUGCAUCACUCAAAGAUGAUCCCGCGUUGUAUUAGCUAGUUGGUGAGGUAAAGGCUCACCAAGGCGAUGAUACAUAGCCGACCUGAGAGGGUGAUCGGCCACAUUGGGACGGAGACACGGCCCAAAAUCCUACGGGAGGCAGCAGUAGGGAAUCUUCGGCAAUGGACGAAAGUCUGACCGAGCAACGCCGCGUGAGUGAAGAAGGUUUUCGGAUCGUAAAACUCUGUUGGUAGAGAAGAACGUUGGUGAGAGUGGAAAGCUCAUCAAGUGACGGUAACUACCCAGAAAGGGACGGCUAACUACGUG